UACGUAGGUGGCGAGCGUUGUCCGGAAUUACUGGGCGUAAAGCGCACGUAGGCGGGCUGUUAAGUUAGGGUGAAAUCCCGAGGCUCAACCUCGGAAUUGCCUCUGAUACUGGCAGCCUCGAGUCCGGGAGAGGUGAGUGGAAUUCCUGGUGUAGCGGUGAAAUGCGCAGAUAUCAGGAAGAACACCAGUGGCGAAGGCGGCUUUCUAGGCCGUUACUGACGCUGAGGCGCGAAAGCUAGGGGAGCGAACAGGAUUAGAUACCCUGGUA
rnacentral:rRNA from 1 species